GGCGCAGUAGCCAAGUGGCUAAGGCAGUGGAUUGCAAAUCCACCAUCACCGGUUCGAAUCCGGUCUGCGCCU
rnacentral:tRNA from 1 species